UCGCGCGGGCUGGGGGCGCCGGGGUGCGCCGAAAGGGGCGGCUCUCUUUUCUCCAGCGGAAGUACGAGACAUAGAGGCCUGGAGGUCUCUUUGCGCAGAUGUGACCCGGAAGAACUGACCUCUCCUAGCCCUCUCUUCCCAGAGCGGCUCAAACCUGUGGUUCCUGGGGUUGGUGUAGAAGUGGAUUACCGGAGAAAGGGAGGUAGUGUACAGAUGUGCUGUGAGAGAGGCUAGCGAUUCCCAGGGACCUAGCACUGGACCUGGAAUAGAAUGUGUUUUAAUGGAUGUAUACUUGAACUCAGCACCUUUGCGGGAGUCACUGAAGGUCUUAUGAAUGAUGCAGAGUGCUAGCCUCAGCCAAAUGUGAUUAUAAAUUCUAAACAUGAGAUGCAGCUGAAACCGGUUUGGCUCAGUGGAUAGAGCGUCGGCCUGCGGUCUGAAGGGUCCCGGGUUCGAUUCCAGUCAAGGGCAUGUACCUUGGU